UGGGGCGUGGCCAAGUGGUAAGGCAACGGGUUUUGGUCCCGCUAUUCGGAGGUUCGAAUCCUUCCGUCCCAGU
rnacentral:tRNA from 2 species